UUAGGUGGACUGUGUGUGUGUACGCGUGCUUGGUACCUAGGAGACCAGCUGCCUAAAGUUAUCUUUGUGGGUGUGUUUGUGACGGUGUGUUUUCAUUCUGUCAGUCAGCAUGUGCAGGUGUUAACAGGUUUUCCGAGGCUUGUAGGAGGAGGUGGGGUUGUGUCAGUCGAUGUUCAGGUCACCUGAGGUCUCCUGGUUCCCUACCCUCUUCCCCAGAGCAUAACACCAGCUUAUUUUACUUCAUUCCAGGAGGAUCUUCAGCUCGUUUGUGUACACGGAGAAGACUUCAAACGGAGAGACGGAGGUUCAGCAGCUGGCGAAGAAGAUCCGGGAGAAGUUUAACCGCUACUUGGACGUAGCGAACAGGAACAAGCAGGUGGUGGAGGCUUCCUAUACAGCCCACCUCACCUCCCCCAUCACCGCCAUCCAGGACUGCUGCACCAUCCCUCCCUCCAUGAUGGAGUUCGACGGUAACUUCAACACCAACGUGUCUAAGACCAUCUGCUGUGACAGGCUGUCUCCCACUGUCAGCAGCCGUGCCUUCACCCAGGAAGAGACCUCAACUCAGUGCUGGCGGACAACCUGAAGUCCAACCCUGGUAUCAAGUGGCAGUACUUCAGCUCAGAGGAGGGCAUCUUCACCGUGUUCCCUGCCCACAAGUUCCACUGCAAGGGCAACUACGAGCACCG